rnacentral:rRNA from 1 species
AGUGAACGCUGGCGGUAGGCCUAACACAUGCAAGUCGAACGGCAGCACAGUAAGAGCUUGCUCUUACGGGUGGCGAGUGGCGGACGGGUGAGGUAUACAUCGGAAUCUACUUUUUCGUGGGGGAUAACGUAGGGAAACUUACGCUAAUACCGCAUACGACCUACGGGUGAAUGCAGGGGCUCUUCGGACCUUGCGCGAUUGAAUGAGCCGAUGUCGGAUUAGCUAGUUGGCGGGGUACAGGCCCACCAAGGCGACGAUCCGUAGCUGGUCUGAGGGGAUGAUCAGCGACACUGGGACUGAGACACGGUACAGACACCUACGGGAGGCAGCAGUGGGGAAUAUUGGACAAUGGGCGGAAGCCUGAUCCAGCCAUGCCGGGUGGAUGAAGAAGGCCUUCGGGUGGUAAAGCCCUUUUGUUGGGAAAGAAAAGCAGCAGGUGAAUACCCCGCUGUUCUGACGGUACCCAAAGAAUAAGCACCGGCUAACUUCGUG